rnacentral:lncRNA from 1 species
GGUGUACGCUUAGAGGGAGAUGUCGGGGCAGGAGAUAUUGAAGAUGGCGGAGGAGGGGAAUUUGGUGGUUCUGUUGGCGGAGUUUGUGAUGGUGGCGGCGGUGGAUUUGGUGGUGGAGAUCGUGAUGGUGGUGGCGUUGAAAGGGGAGGUUGUGAUGGUGGUGGCGUUGAAAGGGGAGGUUGUGAUGAUGGUGGCGGUGAACUAACAGGUGGUGGCAAUCGCGGCGGCGGUGCUGGCGGUGGUGGUGAAGGAACAGGCGGUUGAGUAGAUGGUGUUGGUGGAGGUGGUGAUGGAGUUUGUGGAGGUGGAGGUGAUGGCCUGGGUGCAG